rnacentral:rRNA from 1 species
AAUGAACGCUGGCGGCAUGCCUAACACAUGCAAGUCGAGCGAACAGACGGGGAUCUUUCUCCUAUGACGUUGCCGGCGGACGGGUAAUGCACACGGAUAUAACCUACCUAUAAGACUUGGAUGACUUCACGGGACCGGAUCUAAUACCCGAUAAUAUAUUGAACCGGAUGGUUCAAUAGUAAAAGCCGGUUUUGCUGUCACUUAUGGAUUGAUCCGCGUCGGAUUAGCUAGUUGGUAAGGUAGCGGCUUACCAAGGCAACGAUGCGUAGCCGACCUGAGAGGGUGAUCGGUCACACUGGAACUGAGACACGGUCCAGACUCCUACGGGAGGCAGCAGUAGGGAAUCUUACGCAAUGGGCGAAAGCCUGAUGGAGCAAUGCCGCGUGAGUGAUGAAGGUCUUCGGAUCGUAAAGCUCUGUAAUUAGGGAGGAAGAAAAGUGUAUGUAACUAUGCACGUAUUGACGGUACCUAAAGAGAAAGCACCGGCUAACUACGUG